GACGAACGCUGGCGGCGUGCCUAAUACAUGCAAGUCGAGCGAAUCACUAGGAGCUUGCUCCUGGUGGUUAGCGGCGGACGGGUGAGUAACACGUGGGCAACCUGCCUGUAAGACUGGGAUAACACCGGGAAACCGGUGCUAAUACCGGAUAAUCCUUUUCCUCUCAUGAGGAAAAGCUGAAAGUCGGUUUCGGCUGACGCUUACAGAUGGGCCCGCGGCGCAUUAGCUAGUUGGUGAGGUAACGGCUCACCAAGGCGACGAUGCGUAGCCGACCUGGGAGGGUGAUCGGCCAAACUGGGACUGAGACACGGCCCAGACUCCUACGGGAGGCAGCAGUAGGGAAUCUUCCACAAUGGACGAAAGUCUGAUGGAGCAACGCCGCGUGAGCGAUGAAGGCCUUCGGGUCGUAAAGCCCUGUUGUUAGGGAAGAACAAGUACCGGAGUAACUGCCGGUACCUUGACGGUACCUAACCAGAAAGCCACGGCUAACUAUGUGCCAGCCGCCGCGGUAACAC
rnacentral:rRNA from 1 species